rnacentral:rRNA from 1 species
GGCCUGCUCACUGAUUAUAUUUAAAUAGCCGCGGUAUUUUGACCGGGCAAAGGUAGCAUAAUCAUUAGUUUCUUAAUAAAAUGCUGGAAAAAAUAUUUUAACGAGAAAUUAACUGUCUCUUAAUAAAUUAUAAAAUUUAACUUUUAAGUUAAAAGGCUUAAUUUUACCUUAAGGACGAGAAGACCCUAUAGAGCUUUACAUUUUAUUUUAUAUAUAUUUUUUGAUUUUUUAUAUAUAUAUAAAUGUUAAUGUUUUGUUGGGGUGAUAUGGAGAAUAAUAAAACUCUCUAUUAUAAAAUCAUUGAUUUAUGUUUAUAUGAUCCAUAAUUUUAUGAUCAAAAGAUUAAGUUACCUUAGGGAUAACAGCGUAAUUAUUUUUGAGAGUUCAUAUCGACAAAGUAGAUUGCGACCUCGAUGUUGGAUUAAGAAAAAUUUUAGGUGAAGAAGCCUAAUAAUUAGGUCUGUUCGACCUUUAAAUUCUU